UACGUAGGGUGCAAGCGUUGUCCGGAAUUAUUGGGCGUAAAGAGCUCGUAGGCGGUCUGUCACGUCGGCUGUGAAAACCCGAGGCUCAACCUCGGGCCUGCAGUCGAUACGGGCAAACUAGAGUACUGCAGGGGAGACUGGAAUUCCUGGUGUAGCGGUGGAAUGCGCAGAUAUCAGGAGGAACACCGGUGGCGAAGGCGGGUCUCUGGGCCAUUACUGACGCUGAGGAGCGAAAGCGUGGGGAGCGAACAGG
rnacentral:rRNA from 1 species